UACGUAGGUGGCAAGCGUUGUCCGGAUUUAUUGGGCUUAAAGGGUGCGUAGGCGGCUUUUUAAGUCAGUGGUGAAAGCCGCUCGCUUAACGUUCGAACUGCCAUUGAUACUGAGAGGCUUGAGUAUAGUUGAGGUAGGCGGAAUUGACAGUGUAGCGGUGAAAUGCAUAGAGAUUGUGAAGAACACCAAUGGCGAAGGCAGCUUACUGGAGUAUAACUGACGCUGAGGCACGAAAGUGCGGGGAUCAAACAGG
rnacentral:rRNA from 1 species